UGUAGGAGUGAGCCUGCUCGCGAUAGCGGUGUGUCAGAGCCAAAUAUCUUGGCUGAUACACCGCUAUCGCGAGCAGGCUCACUCCUACA
rnacentral:misc_RNA from 1 species